GCAGAUUUGAGUUUUAGAAAAAUCACUCUGGGAACAGUGCUGCGUUUCAGGGGACGGGACCAGAGGCACUGAGGCCACCGGGGGCUGAUUUCCCUCUUCUUUCCCCACAUGACUGCUUUUCUGGGUCGUACAAGUAUGUUCUUAGGACCAGCAACAGUGAGCUUGCAGAAUCUUGCAGAAUCUGGGAGCUUGCAGAAUCUUGACCCAACUCCAGACUUACUGCGUCAGAAUCUGCAUUCCAGCAAGACCUCAGAACUCAGCCAGCCACAGAGCUUGGAGAUAUGAAGGAGUUUCUAUUUCCAGAUUUUUGAAUUUGGCUGCCAGACUCCAGCUUCCCAGGAUCCCUUUCUCUCGGUAUCUGCACCUUUAUGUAAUUCCCUUACCUUGAGUGUGUGUGAGACAUGCA